AGUGAACGCUGGCGGCAGGCCUAAUACAUGCAAGUCGAGCGAACGGACGAGGAGCUCUCGCCUCUGCCGUUAGCGACGGACGGGUGAGUCACACGUAGAUAACCUACCUAUAUGACUGGGGUGACUACGGGGGACCGGAGACAAUAACGGAUCAUAUGUUGAACGGGAGGGAUCAGUAGAGCUUGAGGGCUUUGCUGAUCCUAAGAGAUGGUUCCGCGCCGCAUUAGCUAGUUGGUAAGGUAACGGCUUACCAAGGCAACGAUGCGUAGCCGACCUGAGAGGGUGAUCGGCCACACUGGAACUGAGACACGGUCCAGACUCCUACGGGAGGCAGCAGUAGGGAAUCUUCCGCAAUGGGCGAAAGCUUGACGGAGCAACGCCGCGUGAGUGAUGAAGGUCUUCGGAUCGUAAAGCUCUGUUAUUAGGGAAGAACAAAUGUGUAAGUAACUAUGGACGUCUUGACGGUACCUAAUCAGAAAGCCACGGCUAACUACGUG
rnacentral:rRNA from 1 species